UGUGUUGUUUUUGUUUCAAAUAUUAAUCGUGCUCGGAGAACAUCGUCAAGAGAGAGAGAGCUAAAAUGUUGUUUCCUACUCAGCCCGAAAAAUAUGUGUUUUUGGGGGUUGAAAAAUUCUUUUGUUCUCUUUUCUAUUCUCCGACGAAGCGAGCAGAGACGUGGUAAAGUGAACAGUGAAAAUUGCAUUUCUGUAGAGAGUGCUCCUUGCGCCAGAUAAUAACGGAUGAUGUUGCAAGACAAUGAUCCCGGCGUGGGACGGAAUUAAAAAAUGUGUUUUAGAGGCCUUCGAAUUACAUUGGCAAUACAGAAUGGAUUUACACAUACACAUUGUGAUAUCAUUUGCGACAGUUUGGUCCGCUGGGUAUGUAUGCGCAUGUGUAUGUGCAUACAUAUAUACGAUUAUAUUUAUGCUAUGCGCUUGAGUAUGUUCUUCUUUCAUAUUUGUUUAUACUUGCACUUGCAAC